GAUGAACCCUGGCGGCGUGCCUAAUACAUGCAAGUCGAGCGAACGGACGAGAAGCUUGCUUCUCUGAUGUUAGCGGCGGACGGGUGAGUAACACGUGGAUAACCUACCUAUAAGACUGGGAUAACUUCGGGAAACCGGAGCUAAUACCGGAUAAUAUUUUGAACCGCAUGGUUCAAAAGUGAAAGACGGUCUUGCUGUCACUUAUAGAUGGAUCCGCGCUGCAUUAGCUAGUUGGUAAGGUAACGGCUUACCAAGGCAACGAUGCAUAGCCGACCUGAGAGGGUGAUCGGCCACACUGGAACUGAGACACGGUCCAGACUCCUACGGGAGGCAGCAGUAGGGAAUCUUCCGCAAUGGGCGAAAGCCUGACGGAGCAACGCCGCGUGAGUGAUGAAGGUCUUCGGAUCGUAAAACUCUGUUAUUAGGGAAGAACAUAUGUGUAAGUAACUGUGCACAUCUUGACGGUACCUAAUCAGAAAGCCACGGCUAACUACGUG
rnacentral:rRNA from 1 species